AUGAACGCUGGCGGCGUGCUUAACACAUGCCAGUCGAACGAAGCACUUUAUUUGAUUUCCUUCGGGACUGAUUAUUUUGUGACUGAGUGGCGGACGGGUGAGUAACGCGUGGGUAACCUGCCUUGUACAGGGGGAUAACAGUUGGAAACGGCUGCUAAUACCGCAUAAGCGCACAGCAUCGCAUGAUGCAGUGUGAAAAACUCCGGUGGUAUAAGAUGGACCCGCGUUGGAUUAGCUAGUUGGUGAGGUAACGGCCCACCAAGGCGACGAUCCAUAGCCGACCUGAGAGGGGGACCGGCCACAUUGGGACUGAGACACGGCCCAAACUCCUACGGGAGGCAGCAGUGGGGAAUAUUGCACAAUGGGCGAAAGCCUGAUGCAGCGACGCCGCGUGAGCGAAGAAGUAUUUCGGUAUGUAAAGCUCUAUCAGCAGGGAAGAUAAUGACGGUACCUGACGAAGAAGCACCGGCUAAAUACGUG
rnacentral:rRNA from 1 species